rnacentral:rRNA from 1 species
CCUGAGAAACCCAAAAGAUCGAAUGGGGAGAUUCAUCGUCAGCUCAUUUUGUAUAUAUGCAUAUUAUGAUAUGGGUUACUACUUGUAGUAUUGCCUGUACAUUUUUGUAUAUUUAUUUGCAAAAUGUUGUCGGCGUGCACUUCUCCCCUAGUAGGACGUCGCGACCCGUUGAGUAUCUGUCUACGGCCCAAGUGAGAGAUUUUGAUAGAUAAAAAUUUUAUUUAUUUGAAAAUCCUUGGUGUCUUCUGACUGGCACUCGUCGGUAUUCGUAUGGUAUUGAGCCGCAUAUUAUAUGCGUCCCUAUCCGUCGCAAGCGAGGUUAUUUACUGAUAGUGCGGACCUAGUGCCGUCGUUAGUAAUAAUCAGCUGUUGGUUGUUAUGGAAUUCUAGGACUGGCUCGUUUUUUUUUUAAAAACAUAAUACCGGUCAGCGAUGCUAUUGCUUUGG